ACUGGAUACGAGAAGAAGGACGUUCCACAUUAUUACGCAGGUCACAGGUUUCAAGCAAUUUGGGAAAGAAAAAGGAUCUUUCUACUGCGGAAAAGCG